rnacentral:rRNA from 1 species
GACGAACGCUGGCGGCGUGCUUAACACAUGCAAGUCGAACGGAAAGGCCCUGCUUUUGUGGGGUGCUCGAGUGGCGAACGGGUGAGUAACACGUGAGUAACCUGCCCUUGACUUUGGGAUAACUUCAGGAAAAUGGGGCUAAUACCGGAUAGGAGCUCCUGCUGCAUGGUGGGGGAUGGAAAGUUUCGGCGGUUGGGGAUGGACUCGCGGCUUAUCAGCUUGUUGGUGGGGUAGUGGCUUACCAAGGCUUUGACGGGUAGCCGGCCUGAGAGGGUGACCGGCCACAUUGCGACUGAGAUACGGCCCAGACUCCUACGGGAGGCAGCAGUGGGGAAUAUUGCGCAAUGGGCGGAAGCCUGAUGCAGCAACGCCGCGUGCGGGAUGACGGCCUUCGGGUUGUAAACCGCUUUCGCCUGUGACGAAGCGUGAGUGACGGUAAUGGGUAAAGAAGCACCGGCUAACUACGUG